GAUCAUGGCUCAGAUUGAACGCUGGCGGCAGGCCUAACACAUGCAAGUCGAGCGGCAUCGGGAAGGUAGCUUGCUAUCUUUGCCGGCGAGCGGCGGACGGGUGAGUAAAGUCUGGGGAUCUGCCUGAUGGAGGGGGAUAACUACUGGAAACGGUAGCUAAUACCGCAUGAUGUUACGCGACCAAAGCGGGGGACCUCCGGGCCUCGCGCCAUCAGAUGAACCCAGAUGGGAUUAGCUAGUAGGAGAGGUAAUGGCUCCCCUAGGCGACGAUCCCUAGCUGGUCUGAGAGGAUAACCAGCCACACUGGAACUGAGAGACGGUCCAGACUCCUACGGGAGGCAGCAGUGGGGAAUAUUGCACAAUGGGCGCAAGCCUGAUGCAGCCAUGCCGCGUGUG
rnacentral:rRNA from 1 species